rnacentral:rRNA from 1 species
GAUGAACGCUGGCGGCGUGCCUAAUACAUGCAAGUCGAGCGAACAGACGAGGAGCUUGCUCCUCUGACGUUAGCGGCGGACGGGUGAGUAACACGUGGAUAACCUACCUAUAAGACUGGGAUAACUUCGGGAAACCGGAGCUAAUACCGGAUAAUAUAUUGAACCGCAUGGUUCAAUAGUGAAAGACGGUUUUGCUGUCACUUAUAGAUGGAUCCGCGCCGCAUUAGCUAGUUGGUAAGGUAACGGCUUACCAAGGCAACGAUGCGUAGCCGACCUGAGAGGGUGAUGGGGCGCACGGGAGGGGAGACACGGUCGAGAGUCCUGCGGGAGGCAGGGGUGGGGGAGGGGCGGCGAUGGGCGAGGGCCGGACGGAGCGGGGCGGCGUGAGUGAUGAAGGUGUUGGGAGCGUAAAACUCUGUUAUUAGGGAAGAACAAAUGUGUAAGUAACUAUGCACGUCUUGACGGUACCUAAUCAGAAAGCCACGGCUAACCACGUG